UUUUGUGAUGCCAGCAGCUAGAUCUUGAGCUGAAAAGCACCAUGCUAAAUUAUUGUGCUCCAUCCCCUAGGUGUCGUGGCUGCCUGUCCCCUGUCAGACCCAGCCAGCAUUGUCAACCGUGCCCUGGAGUGCCAGGCUCAUCCGAGACCAGCACUAGCAGAUGAACACAAGAAAGACUUCUGAGUGGUCUUCACAGCUUAUCAAGACCCAGCCACCAGGUUCCAGAUGCUAGCAUGAUGCCUACCAGACUUCCCUGGACAGACAACCCCACCAAUGGGCCUUGGAGCUUCGCUUCCCCAGAGCCCUCCCUACUAGGGAAAGAGAGAGACAGGCUGGGAGUAUGGAUCAACCUGUCAAUGCCCAUGUCAAUGUGGGGAAGCAACUACAGAAGCCAGACCUUCAACCUUCUGUAUCCCACAGUGAUCUUGGGUUCCAUACUCCCAGAGGAUUAAAGAAUAGGAAAGCUAUCAGGGGAGGGGAUGGGAUGGGAUAUGGAGUUCUGGUGGUGGGAAUUGUGCGAAGUUGUACCCCUCUUAUCCUAUG